rnacentral:rRNA from 1 species
GAUGAACGCUGGCGGCGUGCCUAAUACAUGCAAGUCGAGCGAACAGACGAGGAUCUUGCUCCUCUGACGUUAGCGGCGGACGGGUGAGUAACACGUGUAUAACCUACCUAUAAGACUGGUAUAACUUCGGGAAACCGGAGCUAAUCCCGGAUAAUAUCUUGAACCGCAUGGUUCAAUAGUGAAAUACGGUGUUUCUGUCACUUAUAGAUGUAUCCGCGCCGCAUGGGCUAGUUGGUGAGGUAACGGGUUACCAAGGCAACGAUGCGUAGACGAGCUGAGAGGGGGAUAGGCCACAUGGGAACGGAGACACGGUCCAGACUCCUAAGGGAGGCAGCAGUAGGGAAUCUUCCGCAAUGGGCGAAAGCCUGACGGAGUAACGCCGCGUGAGUGAUGAAGGUCUUCGGAUCGUAAAACUCUGUUAUUAGGGAAGAACAAAUGUGUAAGUAACUAUGCACGUCUUGACGGUACCUAAUAAGAAAGCCACGGCUAACUACGUG